GAUGAACGCUGGCGGCGUGCCUAAUACAUGCAAGUCGAGCGAACGGACGAGAAGCUUGCUUCUCUGAUGUUAGCGGCGGACGGGUAAGUAACACGUGGAUAACCUACCUAUAAGACUGGGAUAACUUCGGGACACCGGAGCUAAUACCGGAUAAUAUUUUGAACCGCAUGGUUCAAAAGUGAAAGACGGUCUUGCUGUCACUUAUCGAUGGAUCCGCGCUGCAUUAGCUAGUUGGUAAGGUAACGGCUUACCAAGGCAACGAUGCGUAGCCGACCUGAGAGGGUGAUCGGCCACACUGGAACUGAGACACGGUCCAGACUCCUACGGGAGGCAGCAGUAGGGAAUCGUCCGCAAUGGGCGAAAGCCUGACGGAGCAACGCCGCGUGAGUGAUGAAGGUCUUCGGAUCGUAAAACUCUGUUAUUAGGGAAGAACAUAUGUGUAAUUAACUGUGCACAUCUUGACGGUACCUAAUCAGAAAGCCACGGCUAACUACGUG
rnacentral:rRNA from 1 species